rnacentral:rRNA from 1 species
GAUGAACGCUGGCGGCGUGCCUAAUACAUGCAAGUCGAGCGAACAGACGAGGAGCUUGCUCCUCUGACGUUAGCGGCGGACGGGUGAGUAACACGUGGAUAACCUACCUAUAAGACUGGGAUAACUUCGGGAAACCGGAGCUAAUACCGGAUAAUAUAUUGAACCGCAUGGUUCAAUAGUGAAAGACGGUUUUGCUGUCACUUAUAGAUUGAUCCGCGCCGCAUUAGCUAGUUGGUAAUGUAACGGCUUACCAAGGCAACGAUGCGUAGCCGACCUGAGAGGGAGAUCGGCCACACUGGAACUGAGACACGGUCCAGACUCCUACGGGAGGCAGCAGUAGGGAAUCUUCCGCAAUGGGCGAAAGCCUGACGGAGCAACGCCGCGUGAGUGAUGAAGGUCUUCGGAUCGUAAAACUCUGUUAGUAGGGAAGAACAAAUGUGUAAGUAACUAUGCACGUCUUGACGGUACCUAAUCAGAAAGCCACGGCUAACUACGUG